UGCAGGUUUUGAUAACAUGGAUUUAGAAUCCUAAUUGCAGGUUUUGAUAACAUGGAUUUAGGAAUUCCAAAGGCUCUAUUCUGAUCAUACCAACAAUACUCUUCUACUGAUUGUUCUGCUCCAGUGCUUUCCACGAUUCUGAGAUCAUCAAAGCCACUGGAAUAGUCAGAAAGACUACUUGGGCUGGGGCUGCCUAUAACCUCAUGCUCUACAUGUUGGCUAAUCAUUUGUCGUUUAUCUAGACUUACAAAGAGUUCUUCUAGCAUUCCAAUAAUCUCAGUGAGCAAACCGGAGAAAGGAGCCUUGUGGUUAUGUUCUUAUGAUGAGGGAGUUACUCUACUACCUUAUGUGUUUCUGUACAAUAAUUUAAGCUAAGCUAAGUUGUAUGUAUUUGUAGGGUUCAACACUUUGAAUGUUUGAGGAAGUAUUAUUUUACAUUGAAAUAUGAUUUUUUUUUCUUAA